rnacentral:rRNA from 1 species
GAUGAACGCUGGCGGCGUGCCUAAUACAUGCAAGUCGAGCGAACAGAUAAGGAGCUUGCUCCUUUGACGUUAGCGGCGGACGGGUGAGUAACACGUGGAUAACCUACCUAUAAGACUGGGAUAACUUCGGGAAACCGGAGCUAAUACCGGAUAACAUAUUGAACCGCAUGGUUCAAUAGUGAAAGGCGGCUUUGCUGUCACUUAUAGAUGGAUCCGCGCCGUAUUAGCUAGUUGGUAAGGUAACGGCUUACCAAGGCAACGAUACGUAGCCGACCUGAGAGGGUGAUCGGCCACACUGGAACUGAGACACGGUCCAGACUCCUACGGGAGGCAGCAGUAGGGAAUCUUCCGCAAUGGGCGAAAGCUUGACGGAGCAACGCCGCGUGAGUGAUGAAGGUCUUCGGAUCGUAAAACUCUGUUAUCAGGGAAGAACAAAUGUGUAAGUAACUGUGCACAUCUUGACGGUACCUGAUCAGAAAGCCACGGCUAACUACGUG